AAACAAAUAAUUUAAAAAAUGGCUUUUUCAUACAAAUCUGUCUGUUUUAUAUUCUUGUGUUUGGUUGUUCUCUUGAUCCCAAAUAUUGCAGAAGCUGAUGUCACACCGAAUAUCGAUUAUUGGGUAGGUUCUUGCGAGACAACUAAAGAUUGCGUCAUAAAAUGCAUGAAGGUAAACUUGAAGCACGGAAAAUGUUAUUAUGUGACACCUGAUUCUCCUGAAAAAACUUGCGCUUGCUAUAUAAACUAAACAUGUUGUAAACAUGUUAUUUUUGAAAGUAUAAUUAUAAUAAUAUUAUCUUGGAGUAAGUUUAUUUUA